GAUGAACGCUGGCGGCGUGCUUAACACAUGCAAGUCGAACGGAAAGGCCCUGCUUUUGUGGGGUGCUCGAGUGGCGAACGGGUGAGUAACACGUGAGUAACCUGCACUUGACUUUGGGAUAACUUCAGGAAACUGGUGCUAAUACCGGAUAGGAGCUCCUGCUGCAUGGUGGGGGUUGGAUUGUUUGGGCGGUUGGGGAUGGACUCGCGGCUUAUCAGCUUGUUGGUGGGGUAGUGGCUUACCAAGGCUUUGACGGGUAGCCGGCCUGAGAGGGUGACCGGACACAUUGGGACUGAGAGACGGCCCAGACUCCUACGGGAGGCAGCAGUGGGGAAUAUUGCACAAUGGGCGGAAGCCUGAUGCAGCACCGCCGCGUGCGGGAUGACGGCCUUCGGGGUGUAAACCGCUUUCGCCUGUGACGAAGCGUGAGUGACGGUAAUGGGUAAAGAAGCACCGGCUAACUACGUG
rnacentral:rRNA from 1 species